GACGAACGCUGGCGGCGUGCUUAACACAUGCAAGUCGAACGGAAAGGCCCUGCUUUUGUGGGGUGCUCGAGUGGCGAACGGGUGAGUAACACGUGAGUAACCUGCCCUUGACUUUGGGAUAACUUCAGGAAACUGGGGCUAAUACCGGAUAGGAGCUCCUGCUGCAUGGUGGGGGUUGGAAAGUUUCGGCGGUUGGGGAUGGACUCGCGGCUUAUCAGCUUGUUGGUGGGGUAGUGGCUUACCAAGGCUUUGACGGGUAGCCGGCCUGAGAGGGUGACCGGCCACAUUGGGACUGAGAUACGGCCCAGACUGCUACGGGAGGCAGCAGUGGGGAAUAUUGCACAAUGGGCGGAAGCCUGAUGCAGCAACGCCGCGUGCGGGAUGACGGCUUUCGGGUUGUAAACCGCUUUCGCCUGUGACGAAGCGGGAGUGACGGUAAUGGGUAAAGAAGCACCGGCUAACUACGUG
rnacentral:rRNA from 1 species